rnacentral:rRNA from 1 species
UACGUAGGGUGCAAGCGUUGUUCGGAUUCAUUGGGCGUAAAGGGUGCGUAGGUGGCGGGGUAAGUCAGGUGUGAAAUCUCGAGGCUCAACCUCGAAACUGCACUUGAUACUGCCUUGCUCGAGUACUGGAGAGGAGAUUGGAAUUUACGGUGUAGCAGUGAAAUGCGUAGAUAUCGUAAGGAAGACCAGUGGCGAAGGCGAAUCUCUGGACAGUUACUGACACUGAGGCACGAAGGCCAGGGGAGGCAAACGGG